rnacentral:snRNA from 1 species
AUACCUUUCUCGGCCUUUUGGCUAAGAUCAAGUGUAGUAUCUGUUCUUAUCAGUUUAAUAUCUGAUACGUGGGCCAUCGGCCCACACGAUAUUAAAUUAAUUUUUCCAGGGUGAGUUCCCAUCACAGCAGCUUGCUGCUGGGGUUCUCGAGCGUCGCCUGUGUGUUGCACUACAGCACUGGCCUGGCGCACCCUCC